CCUACGGGAGGCAGCAGUGAGGAAUAUUGGUCAAUGGGCUUACGCCUGAACCAGCCAAGUCGCGUGAGGGAAGACUGCCCUAUGGGUUGUAAACCUCUUUUGUCAGGGAGCAACGCCGGCUACGUGUAGCCGGACUGAGAGUACCUGAAGAAAAAGCAUCGGCUAACUCCGUGCCAGCAGCCGCGGUCAUACGGAGGAUGCGAGCGUUAUCCGGAUUUAUUGGGUUUAAAGGGUGCGUAGGCGGAAUGCCAAGUCAGCGGUAAAAUCGCGGGGCUCAACCUCGCUCCGCCGUUGAAACUGGCGUGCUGGAGUGGGCGAGAAGUAUGCGGAAUUCGUGGUGUAGCAGUGAAAUGCAUAGAUAUCACGCAGAACUCCGAUUGCGAAGGCAGCAUACCGGCGCCCAACUGACGCUGAAGCACGAAAGCGUGGGUAUCGAACAGGAGUAGAUACCCGAGUAGUC
rnacentral:rRNA from 1 species